GCAGCUUUGGGGCCGAGAAUGCUCUUCAAAGUCAUCCUGCCUAAAGGUAAGGAGGUUGGGACGGUGUGCCCCCUGCAUCGACUAGUCACCAGAAGGAGGUUUGACCUUGGUCAAGGCAGCUCUUUCCAGCUGAGGGCGGUCACCUGCCGGGAUCAGGGCUCAGCUGGGAGCUGUCAGCACUCCCAGUAGCUGGGGUGAUAUCCGGGCAAUGCACCAGAGCACCCAGCAAAGAGCCACUUGACACCUGGCUGGGGACAAGCACAUCAGUUGCCUUUUCCUCUGCCAGGGAGCCUGCCAUGCAGCCAACAAGGGCAGGCAAGGGUGAAAAGGGACGGCUUCCAGAUAAGGAAAGUGAAGCUCCCAAGACUUGAUUAAGUAGCUCAAGGUCAUCCUCAGUGCCAGGAUCAGAAGCUGCAAUUUGAACUGGGGAACUCUGGUCUAGCCUUUCAGCUCUCAGCCAUGAGACGGCACACCCAGCCCUGCAGAUCAAAAAACAAACUUGCCCUUCCUCGCCUGAAAACGCUCCCUCACCUUGGCCACCCGGCAUGAAAACAUUCUGAAUCCAGACUGCCAAGAAAGAAGAAUCAAGAAAAAAGGAAGAAAAGAAAAAUGAAGAACGCUUUGUUCCUUGAACUGUUCUCCACAAGCAUAGUCUCCGCCAGGUACAUUACUUAACUGCGGAGGUGACCCCCGACACCCCCCCCCCGCCCCCACCCUGGCUGCCUCGAGCUCCCUUGGCAGCCGGGUAGUCACGUGAUGCCCAGACAGCCCUGGCUGCUAUUCAAGCGUGUCCAUGUGAAGCAGCUCUAGCGAGCAUCGCUCCCAGAGGGGGAAGGCGGGGGCCCGAGUCAGCCUUGGACAAGGCCCCUCAGCCCCGCGCCAGAGAAGCCCCUGUCAGUGCCCACUGCCCUUUCAAAGACACUGCACGCUGGGCCUGCUCCCUGCACCCUUCCUUGCCCAGGAAGCAGCAGCGCAGGCCAGAUGAAAUGGCGGCCACAAGGUAGCAUCGCUGAGGGGCUUCUGUUCAUCAGAGUUCAGCCUGGUCUCCCGGCUUCACUCAUUCAUUAACUCACUCACUCAUUUGUUCAUUCAAUCACUCAUUCAUUCAUGCAUUCAUUCAUUCACUCACUCAGUCACUCAUUCACUCAUUUAUUCCUUCAUUUACUCCAAACUUCACUCAAUCAUUCACUCACCCAAUUAUUCACAUGUUCCUUCACUCACUCACUAAUAUAUUCACAAAUUACUUCACUUACUCAUUCAUUUAUCCAUUCAUUCAAUCAUGUAUUAGUCCAUUUUCAUGCUGCAGAUAAAGACAUGCCUGAGACUGGGUAAUUUAUAAAGAAAAAGGAGUUUAAUGGACUCUCAGUUCCAUGUGGCUGGGGAGGCCUCAUAAUCAUGGAAAAAGGCAAAAGGCACGUUUUACAUGGUGGCAGGCAAGAAAGAGUGAGAGCCAAGUGAAAGGGAAAACCCCUUAUAAAACCAUCAGCUCUCAUGAGACUUAUUCACUACCAUGAGAACAGUAUGGGGGAAACCACCCCCAUGAUUCUAUUAUCUCCCACCGGGUCCCUCCUAUGUCACAUGGGAAUUGUGGGAGCUACAAUUCAAGAUGAGAUUUGUGUGGGGACACAGUCAAAUGAUAUCAAUUCGAACACAACAUAUCAUCCACUCUUCUCUGCACUGGGGACAUAACAGUGAGCAAAAUAGAUGAGAUCUUUUUGGAGCCUCAGUCUAGCAGGGUAGAUAACCAUUAAACAAUAAACACUUAAUUAUUCAAUUGCAAACAUGCUAAGUUUUAGAAAGGAAGAAUAAAGCGUAUGAUCAUAUAUAAUAGGGGCCCAGCCUUUUCAGACACCCAAUUACAAAAGCAUAGCUCAACUCCCUUUCACUCCCCAUAUUGCAAAGCAGAUAUCUACAAGAUAUCUACAAGAAUCAUGAAGGCCUAAAAAUAUGUCAGUGUUGGAAGAAACAUCAAUGAUUAUCUGGCUCUUGGUGGCAAAAGGCAGUGACAUGGUAUGGUCAAGGGCUCAGACCUUUGAGUUGAUUUCUGGGUUUGAAUCCAGCUCUGCUAUCAACUGCAUGCCCUUGAAUGAGCUAUUGAAACAAUUGGACUUGGUAGAGUGAGAACAAACAGAGUACUAGAGCUGUGGGGGAAGAUUAAAUGAGAGCCCUAUGCAAAUCAUUUAGCAUGGGCCUGCCCCUGGGCAGCAAACAGUGCAUGCUACCCUCGAUCAUGCUCUACUUUCAUUGAGCAUUGGAGGAGGGAACCACAUGCCUUAGGAUGAUCCAGUAGGAGCCUGCACUUGAACCCAGGCCUCUGGGCUCCCAGUCCAGUGCUUUUUCCAAGCACAGAAGAACCUUUGAUAUACAAUGGAAGAACCGCCAUUCUCCUGUCUCCACCUGCUGUUCACCAGCCUCUGUCAUAAAUGUCCCAGAAUCCUCACCCAAGAUCAAGUCCUGACAUCCAAGUGUCCCCCACCCCAGGUGGCUGCACAGCUGUCUUCCGGGGCAUCUUGGUUGGUGGGAGGGGAGAGAGAAGAAGGCAUCUAACACACAGCUUCUAUUUGCCAUGUCAGGAGCAGUAACUUCUCCUAAUUAUUUCCUGGCUCCUGGAUUCAUUAGCCACCCCAGUAUUAAUUCAGAUCACUGCAUUUAUCCCCAUCUGUCCUAGAUUCGUCACCAAGACACUGACGAUGCUAAUGUGGUGGUUUCAGCAAUGAAAGAGCACUGCAGAGUUCAAAUUGUUGUUCAGAAGGGGGAAGGGCUCUAGCAAUUUUUGGUUUAGAACAAGCAACGAGAGUCCCCCACCAAACACACACACACCACCCCCAAGCCCCCAAUACCCCAAACCAGGCAGCCCAACGGCCCACGGGCAGAUAACCUUCUGCCCUGGCCUCAGCAUCAGAGAAAUUCCUUUUAAAUGACUCCACAGACUUCCCCACCCACUGAGUUCCCCUCUUUGGCUAACAGAUGGGCUCAGCUAACCAUUCCCAGCUUUCCGAUAAAGCAGUGUCAGGCAGUGAGGCCCCCUCGGAAAGGCAUGCUUGGAUAAUAAAUUCCAAGGCACCCCUGCCAUCUGCAGGCUGCCAAUCAUGGGGGCGCUGGGCACACUAGGGCUCCCAGUCUGCUGCUGGUAGGGAGCUGGGGUGGGACCUCUGCGUGUGGGGAGGCAGCCUGCCCCUGCCGCCCCAUCCUGCUCAGCCUGUGACCUGUCCCUUUUGACACGGUAGGGGCCAGUCCUGCUGCAACCCCUCUGUCUACUCACAACCCUCCCUGUCAUGCGAGAACCAGCACACAGGCAGCACUGUAAUGGAGGCAAUAAUCGUGAACCACAAAGGCCGAUAGUCAGAUCUGCUGCCACAUUUUGGCUCAGUCACAUUCCAGUGCUUGACCUCAGGCCAGUGGCUUCCCCAUAAGAGCCUCAGUUUCCCCAUCUGUAAAAUGACAGUUAAAGACACUCCCUCCCUGGUAGAUUUUGUGUGAAGAUGUAAGCAAAAUGCGUGGCACAAUGCUUGGCCCAUGGAUAUAAGUGGCAGCUGUCAUUAUCACCAUCAUCAUUAUUGUUAAUAUUAUUCGUGUGGUUGUUAUCAUUUAAAAUACCAAUUAGGUGCAUGGUGGUGCACUCCUGUAGUUCCAGCCACUCAGGAGGCUCAGGCGGGAGGAUGGUGUCAGCCCUAGGAGUUCAAGGCUGCGGUGAGCUGUGAUCGAUCGUGCCACUGCACUCCAGUUUGGGUGAAGGAGCAAGACCCAGUAUCUAAAAAAUAGUAAAGUGAAAUAAAAGGGCAGUUAGCCGGAAAAAUUGACUUUAUGAUACUUGCUUCAUAUGAUACUUAUCUUGGAGGUGUGAUAAAAUAUAUGAGCUGUCUUAACCCAGCACAGAAUGAGCCUUCAGGAAAUGUUAAUUGCCCCUGUCAAUCUCAAAUUCUUUCAUCUAUUCAUUCAUUCAUACAAGAGACAUUCACUAAACAUUGUGCCAGCCCUUGGGUUAGACCUGAAGAGAGAAAGAACAACCAAAAAAAAAAAAAAAAAGCAAUUUUUACCUUUAAAUCACUCACAGUCAAGGGAGCAAAUAGAGCA
rnacentral:lncRNA from 1 species